AACGCACAUUGCACCCCUUAGUAUUCUAGGGGGUAUGCUUGUUCGAGCGUCAUUGCAACCUUCAAGCACUGCUUGGUAUUGGAUGUUAUCAUUGUGGUGCAUCUUAAAAAUAUUAGCAGUGGCAUUUAGCUUCUAGUGUAGUACAUUCAUUUCUCACUUUGGAGCCUGAGUGCUUAACUGUUAGAACCCUCAAUUUUAUCACCAGGUUGACCUCGGAUCAGGUAGGGAUACUCGCUGAACUUAU
rnacentral:misc_RNA from 1 species